UACGGAGGGUGCGAGCGUUAUCCGGAAUUACUGGGUUUAAAGGGUGCGUAGGCGGCUAUGUAAGUCAGGGGUGAAAGUUUGCGGCUCAACCGUAAAAUUGCUUUUGAUACUGCAUGGCUAGAAUCAGGAUGAGGUUAGCGGAAUGUGGCAUGUAGCGGUGAAAUGCAUAGAUAUGCCAUAGAACACCAAUUGCGAAGGCAGCUGGCUAGACCUGCAUUGACGCUGAGGCACGAAAGCGUGGGGAGCGAACAGG
rnacentral:rRNA from 1 species